ACGCUACGGCAGGCUAAUACUGCAAGUCGAACGGUGUCUUCGGACAUAGUGGCGCACGGGUGCGUAACACGUAUGCAACCUACCUUACAUUGGGGGAUAGCCUUUCGAAAGGGAGAUUAAUACCGCAUAAGACAGUAGCUGGGCAUCCAGCAGCUGUUAAAGAUUUAUCGAUGUAAGCUGGGCAUGCGUCCAAUUAGCUAGUUGGUGAGGUAAUGGCUCACCAAGGCAAUGAUUGGUAGGGGAACUGAGAGGUCAAUCCCCCACACUGGCACUGAGAUACGGGCCAGACUCCUACGGGAGGCAGCAGUAGGGAAUAUUGGGCAAUGGACGCAAGUCUGACCCAGCCAUGCCGCGUGCAGGAUGAAGGCGUUAUGCGUUGUAAACUGCUUUUAUACAGGAAGAAACGACUCUUGCGAGAGGCAUUGACGGUACUGUAUGAAUAAGCACCGGCUAACUCCGUGCCAGCAGCCGCGGUAAUACGGAGGGUGCAAGCGUUGUCCGGAUUUAUUGGGUUUAAAGGGUGCGCAGGUGGUUUAUUAAGUCAGUGGUGAAAGACGGUCGCUCAACGAUUGCAGUGCCAUUGAAACUGGUAGACUUGAGUAAAGUAGAGGUGGGCGGAAUUGAUAGUGUAGCGGUGAAAUGCAUAGAUAUUAUCAAGAACUCCAAUUGCGUAGGCAGCUCACUUGGCUUUUACUGACACUCA
rnacentral:rRNA from 1 species